AGAGGAAGUGGUGGCCGAGGCAGAUGAACUGAUCAAGGCAGAUGAAUGCAUUGAUCACUCUUUCGCAUCAGGAUCAAGAAACUGGUCAUGGGAUUACCGGGGACCAGCACUAGCAUCGCUGCCAUAGGUAUCUCGCCAUCCCCAGUCUCCGUUGCUGUUAACGGUACAAGGUCAGGAUGGACGCGAAUGGGUGUUAUCCAAGAAGUUGAGAUGACUAGUGAGGAAUACAAUGAAUCAGAAGAUAGAGAUGAUGGCCCCGCAAAAGUUGCAGAUACGGAUCAUAAGGUCAACAGAAGCAAAGCCGAUAGCUCCGACUUCAGACCAGCUCCGACUAAUAUCAAGGAUCGCGUGAAGAUCACUGUCCAACCUCAAAGUCCGGUAUCAGCUGCUAAUUAAAUCCUGAUGAGUUCAAACUCGGAUGUGUCAUUCACCGAGGCAGAGCUGAGGAAAUCAGAGGAAUUGAUGACUGGAGCUUUUACGGAAUCCUACCAAAAUCUUCAACUUCUAAAAUGCUACUGGUUGCUUUACUGGAUGCACAUUGACUCUUAUGGCGGGAUUAAAGUGGCUGUACAUGCAAGAGAUCUCCUAAAAA